CCUACGGGCGGCAGCAGUGGGGAAUAUUGGACAAUGGGGGGAACCCUGAUCCAGCCAUGCCGCGUGUGUGAAGGAGGCCCUCGGGUUGUAAAGCACUUUCAGUGAGGAAGAACGCCUGGUGGUUAAUACCCAUCAGGAAAGACAUCACUCACAGAAGAAGCACCGGCUAACUCCGUGCCAGCAGCCGCGGUAAUACGGAGGGUGCGAGCGUUAAUCGGAAUUACUGGGCGUAAAGCGCGCGUAGGUGGCUUGAUAAGCCGGUUGUGAAAGCCCCGGGCUCAACCUGGGAACGGCAUCCGGAACUGUCAAGCUAGAGUGCAGGAGAGGAAGGUAGAAUGGCCGGUGUAGCGGUGAAAUGCGUAGAGAUCGGGAGGAAUACCAGUGGCGAAGGCGGCCGUCUGGACUGACACUGACACUGAGGUGCGAAAGCGUGGGUAGCAAACAGGAUUAGAGACCCUUGUAGUG
rnacentral:rRNA from 1 species